CACCCUCAAAAUCCACAGCGGAUGUGUGCACAUGCCAUGAGACAUGCUCACCUUAACUGAGCAGCCCAUGUGGCAUUCGGGUGACACGUCAGCAGGCUGGACGACAUGUGCUCACAGCGAGACCAGAUUGUGCAAUGUAAGCUUGAUCCUUGUGUAUGUUGUGCGGCGACACCCCCCCUUAAUUGUGGCGGCAAGGUGGCGCUCUUGAGACUGAGGGAGGCAGGCAGGUGGGAAGCCAGACGGGCGGCUGGGUGGGUGAUGGGGGAGAAAAUAUUGAGGGGACUGACCCCCCCAGAAGAAACUUAUUAGGGGCAAGGGACCAUGGCCCCCCUAGUUGGCAUCUAUGCUAAGUUCAUCUGCUCUGCCUAUAUGGUCAAAGGCAGAGAGCAGGAGGCAAGGGUGGUCUUCGGCUCAGUCCCUGCUUCCCACAGGUGUGGGAACAGAAUACUCAACAAUGGUGAUGAUGACGAUGAUAAUAAAUUUUAUUUAUUUAUACCCCGCCCUCCCCGGCCAGAGCCGGGCUCAGGGCAGGUAACACCGGUAAAAUUACAAUAAAAACAUAAUGGGGGGGACAAUUUAAAAUACAGGUUAAAAUCCAAUUUAAAAUUCAGCCUCGUUUUAAAAGUAGCCCAUAGAGCAAGACCAUAAAGGGGGGGGGAGGGCAUAAGGGUCAGACUGAGUCCAAACCGAAGGCCAGGCAGAACAGCUCUGUCUCACAGGCCUUGCGGAAAGAUGUCAAGUCCCGCAGGGCCCUAGUCUCUUGUGACAGAGUGUCCCACCAAGUCGGGGCCAGUACUGAAAAGGCCCUGGCCCUAGUUGAGACCAAUCUAACCACAUUGCGACUUGGGACCUCCAAAAUGUUGUCAUUUGUGGACCUUAAGGUCCUCCGUGGGGCAUACCAGGAGAGGCGGUCCCGUAGGUACGAGGGUCCUAGGUCAAAACCAGCACCUUAAACCUUAAGCUGCUGCCAGAUCCAGCAGGCUCUUCUUGUGUUCUUACAUCAGCCCGUAUUCCCAUCCCCAUCAAAUAACAUACAAGAUGGGUGACACCUGGCUUGAGAGCAGUACAUGUGAAAAGGAUCUAGGAGUCUUGGUUGACUACAAACUUGACAUGAGCCAACAGUGUGAUGCGGCAGCUAAAAAAGCCAAUGCAAUUCUGGGCUGCAUCAAUAGGAGUAUAGCAUCUAGAUCAAGGGAAGUAAUAGUGCCACUGUAUUCUGCUCUGGUCAGACCUCACCUGGAGUACUGUGUCCAGUUCUGGGCACCACAGUUCAAGAAGGGCACUGACAAACUGGAACGUGUCCAGAGGAGGGCAACCAAAAUGGUCAAAGGCCUGGAAACGAUGCCUUAUGAGGAACGGCUAAGGGAGCUGGGCAUGUUUAGCCUGGAGAAGAGGAGGUUAAGGGGUGAUAUGAUAGCCAUGUUCAAAUAUAUAAAAGGAUGUCACAUAGAGGAGGGAGAAAGGUUGUUUUUGCUGCUCCAGAGAAGCGGACACGGAGCAAUGGAUCCAAACUACAAGAAAGAAGAUUCCACCUAAACAUUAGGAAGAACUUCCUGACAGUAAGAGCUGUUUGACAGUGGAAUUUGCUGCCAAGGAGUGUGGUGGAGUCUCCUUCUUUGGAGGUCUUUAAGCAGAGGCUUGACAACCAUAUGUCAGGAGUGCUCUGAUGGUGUUUCCUGCCUGGCAGGGGGUUGGACUCGAUGGCCCUUGUGGUCUCUUCCAACUCUAUGAUUCUAUGAUUCUAUGAACAUCUCACAUCUCAGGUUACAGACGAAGCCGUCUCACCUCUGCAGCUACCCUAUAUUGCGAUCUCAGCUGCAGAUCUUGAGCCACCACUGCUUUCCUGAGGAGACGGAUAUUGUUCUUGGUGACUCAGUUUCGCAUUUUAAUGAUGCUCAGCAGUAAAUCAGCCCUGUUGUGUGAUAGGUCACAUAUACACCCUGAAUGAAUAGAUUGAUCCUGGCAUAUCAUACAAUGAAGCUUUCUAAUGUUUAAUUUUUUAUCAGGUUUUUGAAUACAGCCGUACCUUGGAUCUCAAACGCCUUGGCUCCCAAACAAACUGGCUCCCGAAUGAGCGAAACCCAGAAGUGAGUGUUCCGGUUUUCGAACAAUUUUCAGAAGCCGAACGUCCUGUGGGGAGGUGGAUGCAGUGUGGGGACACACCCCCACCUCAGCAUAAGACACGCCACAGCAUGUCUAACUGCCAUGCUCACUCUCUGACCUUUGCUUCCCUCGCAGGAAGCUUUGCUUAAGUUCCACUUGGCUGGAGCAUGACGAAUGAAGCAGACUUUCGAGUAUCAGGGGAACAUUUGGGGGGAAACACCUGUCUGGCACGGGAAUCGCUAACGCUAGAAAUGUGCCUUGCUGGAAAUAUGUUAAGUUCAGGAUGGUUUCGCUACUGUUUCCAACUGUUGACUUCUGCUAAUAAAAGGAGCCACAGCAGAGCUAGCCGGCAGCUUGCUUGGAGCUUGCUAGCUUGCUUGAUCCUGCACAACUCACAUGCAUCCAACUCCUGUGUCGUCCUCCAUUAUUUCUACAACAUCUGAUGGGGCUUCCGCAGCUUCUGGUUGGCUGUAGGAGUUUCCUGCAGCCAAUCAGAAGCCGCGCUUUGGUUUAUGAAUGUUUUGGAAGUUGAACGGAAUUCCGGAACGGAUUCCGUUUGACUUCCAAGGUAUGACUGUAUUCUGGAAGCCGCCCAGAGUGGCUGGGGCAACCCAGUCAGAUGGGUAGGGUACAAAUAAUAAAAUCACCACCACAACCACCAUUAUUUUAUGGUGGUUCUCCACUAAAGGUCCA